rnacentral:rRNA from 1 species
GAUGAACGCUAGCUACAGGCUUAACACAUGCAAGUCGAGGGGCAGCAUGAAUUUACUUCGGUAAAUUUGAUGGCGACCGGCGCACGGGUGCGUAACGCGUAUCCAACCUUCCCGUUACUCCCGGGAUAGCCUUCCGAAAGGGAGAUUAAUACCGGAUGGUGUUUGAAGUCCGCAUGAAUUCAAACUAAAGAUUUAUCGGUAACGGAUGGGGAUGCGUACCAUUAGAUAGUAGGCGGGGUAACGGCCCACCUAGUCGACGAUGGUUAGGGGUUCUGAGAGGAAGGUCCCCCCACACUGGAACUGAGACACGGUCCAGACUCCUACGGGAGGCAGCAGUGAGGAAUAUUGGUCAAUGGUCGGAAGACUGAACCAGCCAAGUAGCGUGAAGGAUGACUGCCCUACGGGUUGUAAACUUCUUUGUUUGGGAAUAAAGACGCUACGUGUAAGCGUUCUGCAUGUACCUUACGAAUAAGCAUCCGGCUAAUUCCGUAGCCGAGCAGCCGCGG